rnacentral:rRNA from 1 species
GUCAAGUGUGUAAGGGCACAUGGUGGAUGCCUUGGCA